GGGGGACGGUCCGGCGACCAGCGGGUCUCGAAAACCUAGCCUUGCGGGGUUCGACACCCCGGUCUCUCGCCA
rnacentral:tRNA from 1 species